AGGUCACCCAUUUCAAGGGAAUCAGCAGGUUUGGUAAGAGAAAAAAAUUAAAUCCCUGAUUCAUUGGGCCAUUUGAGAUCUUAUACAGGAUUGAUGUGAUCGCUUAUAGACUGACACUACAUUCAGAGCUGUCCAAAGUCCGUAAUGUAUUUUAUGUAUCCAUACUACACAAAUACAACCCAGACCCCUCACACAUCAUGUCCCAUGAGCCCUUUUCACUCUAGGUAGAUCUAUUCUAUGAUGAGGUAUCGGUAGGCAUUGUAGACCAGAAGAGUA
rnacentral:lncRNA from 1 species